CCCGCGAGGAGCAAGGGGCUGGCCGGGCUGGAGGGCUGGGUGAGUCCCCGCCCUGGCAAUCCCAGAAGAGGGCAGGGAGCGCCCCCAACUGACCGCCGGGGGCAUCGUGACGCUGAGGUGGAUGGGAGACUGCACGAUUUGAGCAGGUUGUGUGAAAUCUGGAACUCCAUUACUUGUACCCCAAGGCAUCUUUUUUAUGCGGAUUUAAGCUGGAAAGCGCCACACCAAGCUGUUAACAGGAACUGCUUCCUGGCACUGAGAUUCCAGGGGCUGCUCGUUCCUUUCUCUGGCUCAUCUGUGUAAGGAAGACUUUCCUCCGUGAGCCUUUCCACCAAGCUCAGGCCUGAGGCUUAGGAGAAAUGUGCGAGAUCCCGACAGCCUCGGAGGGAGUGAGGGGGCUUCGAGACCCUCAGGGCCACCUUAGGGGCCUCUACCAGGGAAGGAGAAAUGAUCUUGUUUCACCGGCCAGGGAGCCCUUCAGAAAUGCAAAUGUAACCGUUCACCUCCCCCUAGACAUUCCCUUCAGGGUAAUUCCCUUCAGGGCAAUUUCUUCAACGGCUCCAAGACAGAUCUUUUCCUUGAGAGCUGACAGUCGAUUUGCUGACAGUUGAUUUCCAGACUGAAGCGUACCUGCCACGGAACUUUUACCUCCAUGGGGUGACCUUAGAACUUCUGCUCUGCAAACUGGAAGUGACCUUCAUCCUCCAGGAGGAGGGAAACUGCAACACAAAUUCUGACAUCAAAGCCCGGGGAAGCUUCCGUGGUUGGCGGUACUCUGCGAAUUGUCAUACAUCACAGCAAGGAGGAGGUGAUGCCACACCCGUUGGCGGUACUCUGCGAAUUGUCACACAUCACAGCAAGAAGGAGGUGAUGCCACACCGGUGGCUGCCAGCUCCUCAUCAGGACCCUCCCUGGACUCUACCCUGUGUCUCUUCCUUUGGCUGGUUCUAAUUAGUAUCCUUUCCCGUUCAUAAACAUGGGGGCAAUAGUGCUGUGCUUAAGGAAGCACCAGCAAUUGGAGGUGAACCCAGACAGGAAGAAUCCAGCCCCAGCCUUGUCCCGCCGUCUGAGGAUGACACCAGGAAGUCCUGACCUCCCAGGACCUGAAGCAGAAGG
rnacentral:lncRNA from 1 species